AUGCUGGUCGUAAUUUCUGGUUUGAAUGUUUUAAAUUGUUGCAAUCAAAUCACACGAUAUAAUUUAGUUGACGGAAUGCUAAUAUAUUUAUGAUACAGUAAUUUCACGAUAUUUUAGUUAUUUUUACGUCAUUCGCUACAAUAAUACUACACUAGUGUAACAUUAACAAUACAACACUAUUUGAUCAACUAAAUUGUAUUAUAGAACUUGAUUGCAAUAAUCUGAAAGGCUUAAGUCAAAAUUCGCAACAAAUUAAAAAUUCGAGGACCAAAGUAUCACGUAGCUCAUAGUUUGGGGACCAAAAUUGCAAAUUAGCCAACUUAAAACAAAAGUAUUUUACAUGCAAACCUUCUAUAUGUCUCAAACCAUCUCUAAAUCAUAACUUACUCAACAAUUCUGUGAUGCUAUUAUAUUGAGAGAGAUCAAGUUCUCUAUCAAAGUCAUAAUCCAACAUUCCAUCAAACUAAUAAUAAUUUGAUAGGAACCGACCGUCCCUAGAGCAAGUGGCUACUUAAAGGGCUUGGUGGUUGGUAUCCGAGGUCCCAAGUUCAAAUCCUAGUUGAUUCACAUUUUCAGCUAAGUUUAUUUCUAAAUAAAAUAAACGAAGCGGGUAGCGAGCUACCUAUCUCUCAAAAAAAAAUAAUAAUAAUUUGAUAGGACAAAAUUUCACAAAGUGGAUGUUAAAUU
rnacentral:lncRNA from 1 species